GACGAACGCUGGCGGCGUGCUUAACACAUGCAAGUCGAACGGAAAGGCCCUGCUUUUGUGGGGUGCUCGAGUGGCGAACGGGUGAGUAACACGUGAGUAACCUGCCCUUGACUUUGGGAUAACUUCAGGAAACUGGGGCUAAUACCGGAUAGGAGCUCCUGCUGCAUGGUGGGGGUUGGAAAGUUUCGGCGGUUGGGGAUGGACUCGCGGCUGAUUAGCUUGUUGGUGGGGUAGUGGCUUAACAAGGCGAUGACGGGUAGCCGGUCGGAGAGGGUGACCGGCCAGACUGGGACUGAGACCCGGCCCAGACUCGUACGGGAGGCAGCGGUGGGGAAUAUUGGACAAUGGGCGAAAGCCUGAUCCAGCAAUGCCGCGUGAGUGAUGCAGGCCUUAGGGUUGUAAAGCUCUUUUACCCGGGAUGAUAAUGACAGUACCGGGAGAAUAAGCUCCGGCUAACUCCGUG
rnacentral:rRNA from 1 species